rnacentral:rRNA from 1 species
UACAGAGGUCUCAAGCGUUGUUCGGAUUCAUUGGGCGUAAAGGGUGCGUAGGCGGCGCGGUAAGUCGGGUGUGAAAUCUCGGAGCUUAACUCCGAAACUGCAUUCGAUACUGCCGUGAUUGAGGACUGGAGAGGAGACUGGAAUUUACGGUGUAGCGGUGAAAUGCGUAGAUAUCAUGAGGAAGACCAGUGGCGAAGGCGGGUCUCUGGACAGUUCCUGACACUGAGACACGAAGGCCAGGGGAGCAAACGGG